rnacentral:rRNA from 1 species
UAGAAAGUUACUAAAGCGCAUACAACGAAUGCCUUGACACAAAUUACCGAUUAAGGACGUAGAAGGCUGCGAAAAGCCUCGGGGAGUUGCCUAACAAACUUUGAACCGAGGAUAUCCAAAUGGGGAAACCCGGCUAGAUUCAAACCUAGUCACUCUUACCUGAAUAUAUAGGGUAGGUAGAGGUAACCGCCUGAACUGAAACAUCUAAGUAGGGCGAGGAAUAGAAAGUAAACAACGAUUCUCCUAGUAGUGGCGAGCGAACGGGGAUCAGCCCAAACCUUUUAAGUUUUUGCCUGUUAAUUCAGGUAAAUAAGUUGACAGACGAAUAUUUAAAAGGGGUUGUGACAUAUAAAUUAACCAAGUUUAGGACUUGAUUUAUCAAGGCUUAAACUUGGACUAGCUAACGCUGUCACCAGUUAGCAUAAGGUUACAAAUUGCUGAGCGAGUAGAAGCAGUUGGAAAGCUGCACCAAAGACGGUGAUAGUCCGGUAUACCAAGCGAAGCAACCUUAUCAUUUAUAUUGUCGAGUAGGUCGGAACACGAGAAACUCUGACUGAAUCCGGGACGACCACGUCCCAAGGCUAAAUAUGAUUUGUGAUCGAUAGAGAACUAGUACCGUGAGGGAAAGGUUAAAAGAACCCCGGAAGGGGAGUGAAAUAGAACCUGAAAUUGUAUGCGUACAAGGACUCGGAGCAGCUUUUAGCUGUGACGGGGUGCUUUUUGUAGAACGAUCCAGCGAGUUAAUGAUUAUUGCAUGCUUAAGCCAUUUGGCGUGAGGCACAGUGAAAGCGAGCCUGAAUAGGGCGACCAUUUUGUAGUAAUUAUUAGACCCGAAACCAGGUGACCUAACCAUGGGCAGGCUGAAGCGACGGUAAAACGUCGUGGAGGGCCGAACCGUAGCGAGUUGCAACACGCCCGGAUGACUUGUGGUUAGCGGUGAAAUGCCAAUCGAACCUGGAGAUAGCUGGUUCUCCUCGAAAUAGCUUUAGGGCUAGCGUCGUACGGUAGCACUUAGGGGUAGAGCUCUGUUUCGGACUGGGGCGCGUAAGCGUACCCACCCUUGACAAACUACGAAUACUAAGUGUGGAACUACGGCAGUCAGAACGGCGGGGCUAAGCUCGUCGCUCGAAAGGGAAACAGCCCAGACCAUCAUCUAAGGUCCCUAACUAUAUGCUCAGUGGGAAACGAGGUGAGAUUUCUUAAACAAUGAGGAUGUUGGCUUAGAAGCAGCCAUUCAUUUAAAGAGUGCGUAACAGCUCACUCAUCAAGAGAUCUUGCGCGGAAAAUGUAACGGGGCUCA